UUUAAAAACUUACAAAUAAUGGACGUUCGUGAAAAUCAAGUAUCACCAGCAGCCCUCUCCAUUUUCAUGGAUUUUCACAAUUCGAUUCCAUCGAUCUCACAUGAAGAUACCUUCGCCAUAUUCAAUGAAACAAACUUCCCGAAGGGAAGAUUUUCCUAAAUUGAAAAACAUACUACUAUGGAAUGAGAACAAAGUUUGGAUACAUCCUGAUUUGUACAAAUUUCUCAUUAUCAACUCAGGAAACUCUUUAGAGAAACUCGUACUGAGACGUAUACAAAGUUUGAAGGACAAUGAUUUGAUACAUAUCGUAGAAGAAUGCAAAGGACUGCAAAACAUACUCUUGGACGAAUGUCCUUCCAUCACAAUACAUUCCUUACGCCAAUUUCUAGAAGUACAAAAUGAAUUGGAUGCCGUCCAAUGCUGGGGAUGUGACAAAAUCUGUUGUGCAGACUAUGAUAGUAUCGAAAGUUUAAAAAAUCAAAACAAUUUAUAGUUCCUUUGGGAUUGGCAUCCCUAAUAUCCACCUCAGGAGGAUUAUAAGAUGGAUGAAGAGGAUUUGGAGGAGUUGAAUUGAGGGUUAGCAAUGUCAAUGAAGCUAAAAUAAAUAUAUAGAUAUAUAUAUAAGUAUUUUUUUUAUUUUUUUACAUUCAAAAAGAAUCAUAAACAUUGAUUAUACAGUAACGAAUAGAAAUCACAAACGAUAUAUAUAUGUAUAUUUGAAUAGAGAGAUAUAUAUUUUGUUAGCAUAUCAAGGCAUUUUGGAUCGAAAAAAAAUAUACGUGUAUGUAGAUAACUUCUAUAUAAAUUCCAUACCCUGAAUGUUAAGAAAUAUUCGUGUAUAUAAUGACGUAAAUUUGCGCAGCCAUUUUAGUUUUCUCUUUCAAAAUAAAUUAGAAUUACAGAAAUACUCUGAGAAAUAAAAUAUAAUUUUUUUUUGUAGAAAAAUACUUUUUUAUAGACCGCGCGGUACUUGGGAGGUUAUUUCAAAUAAUAACGAACUUUGAAAAAUAACAUCUCUGAUUGUAAAUCAUCUUUGGGACAGGGUGGGCCGGAAACAGUAGGAGGGAGACAGCGUUGGCAAUAUGUGUUUGUAUGUAGUAUUAGAAGGAAAAACAAUGACAUGAAUUUUUGUUUUACGAAUAAAACUUUCAAUCGAUAAUUAAUAUUAUACAUCAUACCUCAUUGAAAUGCAAAUUAAAUAAUAAAUAGUUUUUUGCGAUUAUUUAAAAGAAAUAAUAAUUGAGGUAGAAUUAUAUUUUAUCUAUGUUUUUAUGUAUCCUUGAAUAUAAAUAAAACCUUCUUCAGUUACAACAUUAAGUACGACGUGUAUAAAUUGACGAAUAAUAAUAAAAUAGUAAUAAUUAAUUCAAAUGAGCCACUUAUUUGACAGAAAAGUUGACAUAUAAAUAAUCAUAGUAAUCCAUUUAACACAAUAUCAGUCAAUAUGCACAAUAUGCAUACUAAUAAAGGAAUAAUUUUUCCGAAUUCUACGUGGUUUUUGUAUCUUAUCUUAAAUCCAACGCAUUGGUGGAGCUAUAUAUAAUAAUUGAUAUAUCAUUUUAUAGCAGGACGGUGAUUUUAUAUGUGUGUACAUAUGUAUGUAAUACGUAUAGGAUUAAACUAAAAGCAACAAAUUGAUCUAAUGUCCUCUCAAUAUUAAUAAAUAUGUAUUGUAUGUAUGAAGAAAAAAAACGUAGUCUUCUUCGUUAACAAAGUCCAGGAACGAACGAAUAUUUAGUAUCUAUGUAUGUUUGUUGUAGAUCCGUGUAAAAAUCAGUCUAUGUUAUGUAAGUAUGAAGAAGCAGCAGCGACAGUGGCGGUGUUGAAUGCCUGAAUAUCGUCCAUCAAGGAGCAGAUAGGUGAGAGCCGGCCUGGCUGGAAUAUGUACAAAAAUCUCAUUAAAUUUUUUUU
rnacentral:lncRNA from 1 species